GUGCAGACCUUUCCAGCGAGGCUCGGCCUGCAGUGGCUCUGCUCUUUCCUAUUGUGUCUGCUAGAGAGAUGUGAGGCUGUUUGAGGCCCUGCUGUAACUCUUUAUGGCAGGGUUAUAGGUAAGUCUCAGACAAAC
ensembl:snoRNA